rnacentral:SRP_RNA from 1 species
UUUAGGUGCGGUGGCGUGUGCCUAUAGUCCCAGCUACUCAGGAGGCUGAGGUGGGAGGAUCGCUUGAGCCCAGGAGUUCUGGGCUGUAGUGCGCUAUGUCGAUCUGGUGUCCACACUAAAAGUUCAACAUCAAUAUGGUGACCUCCUGGGAGCAGGGAACCACCAGGUUGCCUAAGGAGGGGUGAACUGGCCCAGGUCAGAAACGGAGCAGGUCAAAACUCCCUUGCUGAUCAGUAGUGGGAUCGUGCCUGUGAAUAGCCACUGCGCUCCAACCUGGGCAACAUAGCGAGAACCCGUCUCU